GGAGGGUUGGCCGAGCGGCUUAAGGCGCCUCACUUAUAAUGAGAUUUACGUUGGAGACAGCGUAACGAGGGUUCGAAUCCCUCACCCUAUU
rnacentral:tRNA from 2 species